AACCCCAGUCAUCUCGUCAAAUACUCUAUCGCAGACAGAUUCAUCUCUUUCUAGAAGCGUUUCUUUUAGCCGGCUCAAUGCACAGGCACCAGAAUUUGUGCCCACUCGACCCACCCCACGAACCGAUUUGCAGCAGCAACCUAGACCCGUACUACUUCCGCCUCCUUCUCCUCCUUCGGCAUCAGGUAUGGUACAUGUUUACUCACCAUCCCCAUCUUCGCCGUUCCAUAUACCGAUUCGAGGCCACGUACCAGUCGCUAAUCACCACCACCACCGCCACCAUCAUGUUCCGGUUCACUACCGGUCUCAUCAUCACCCUCAUCAAUAUCAUGUUAGCUCCGAUUCGGCUGUGCAGCAACCUCAGCAGUCUCACGUUGAGCCAGAUCACACUCCUUUCAAAAGCAAGCAUUCCGGUAUGUUGAUUAAUUUAAAAAAAAAUAGAAAUAGAAAUAUAUAUAUAUAUAUAUAUAAAUCCAAAAUUAAAGAUUUAAAAACUUAUGAAACUAAAAGUACAUUUAGACCUAAUAAAUAUUGUUUCUGGGCAAAAAAAGCAAAAAACCUCACCGUGGUCAGCGUUCAUCUUCGUCAAUCACAAGUCACCAUUCAGCAGUCAAUCUUUAAAUAAUCCAUGAUACGAACCCCCGGGAAAAAUUGAGAGUUUUUUCUCUGUGGACACCGAUUCAGGUGUUAACGAUCUUGCUCUCUCUCGCUCACUGUUAUUUGUAUUACCUGCAGACGCAGAACAGCUGCGUCCUAUCCCAACCCAAGUAGCUGGAAAAGUAAUCUCAACAGCAGCAGCAAUUUAAUCGACCAAGAAAAUGGCUCAAGAGUCACUGACGGAAACCCCAGUCAUCUCGUCAAAUACUCUAUCGCAGACAGAUUCAUCUCUUUCUAGAAGCGUUUCUUUUAGCCGGCUCAAUGCACAGGCACCAGAAUUUGUGCCCACUCGACCCACCCCACGAACCGAUUUGCAGCAGCAACCUAGACCCGUACUACUUCCGCCUCCUUCUCCUCCUUCGGCAUCAGGUAUGGUACAUGUUUACUCACCAUCCCCAUCUUCGCCGUUCCAUAUACCGAUUCGAGGCCACGUACCAGUCGCUAAUCACCACCACCACCGCCACCAUCAUGUUC
rnacentral:lncRNA from 1 species